UACAGAGGUCUCAACCGUUGUUCGGAUUCAUUGGGCGUAAAGGGUGCGUAGGCGGUCGUGUAAGUCGGAUGUGAAAUCUCAGGGCUUAACCCUGAAACUGCAUUCGAUACUGCAUGGCUAGGGUGCUGGAGAGGAGACUGGAAUUUACGGUGUAGCAGUGAAAUGCGUAGAUAUCGUAAGGAAGACCGGUGGCGAAGGCGAGUCUCUGGACAGCUACCGACGCUGAGGCACGAAGGCCAGGGGAGCAAACGGG
rnacentral:rRNA from 1 species